rnacentral:lncRNA from 1 species
AAGGAGGGGAACCUGCUCACAUACCUUCUCCUCAUGUCCCGCCAGCUACGACCCAGCUGCCCUCUGCUGUAGAGGAGGCAGGGACUGUGGCCACAUGCCCAGCUAGGACGAGGGGAGUCCUAAGGGAAAGGGGAGGCAGGAGAAGCCAGUGGCUGCACAGUCACUGAAGAAGAAGAGCAGGUCUAGGUGCCCAAACCCUGCACAUUGCAAAUAAAGCUCUGGCUCUCGACCUGCUUGUGGGAGAUGCC